rnacentral:rRNA from 1 species
GACGAACGCUGGCGGCGUGCUUAACACAUGCAAGUCGAACGGAAAGGCCCUGCUUUUGCGGGGUGCUCGAGUGGCGAACGGGUGAGUAACACGUGAGUAACCUGCCCUUGACUUUGGGAUAACUUCAGGAAACUGGGGCUAAUACCGGAUAGGAGCUCCUGCUGCAUGGUGGGGGUUGGAAAGUUUCGGCGGUUGGGGAUGGACUCGCGGCUUAUCAGCUUGUUGGUGGGGUAGUGGCUUACCAAGGCUUUGACGGGUAGCCGGCCUGAGAGGGUGACCGGCCACAUUGGGACUGAGAUACGGCCCAGUCUCCUACGGGAGGCAGCAGUGGGGAAUAUUGCACAAUGGGCGGAAGCCUGAUGCAGCAACGCCGCGUGCGGGAUGACGGCCUUCGGGUUGUAAACCGCUUUCGCCUGUGACGAAGCGUGAGUGACGGUAAUGGGUAAAGAAGCACCGGCUAACUACGUG